AUUUAAAUAAUUUAAAAUUAAAAUAUUGAUUUGUGGUGUCAAAAAUAUGAAAAAUCAUUUUAAAUU
rnacentral:tRNA from 1 species